UUCAGCCGGUGUUUUCAUUUCUCAUUCUCUCUCUCUCCAGGCGAAAAACAGAAACAGAUAUGACUGAAAUACACAAAAACAGAUGAAAGCUUCAAAAUCAACCUCUGAAUCGAUCCAAAAUCAGUAGAUUAAUACUAUUACAUGAUCUAGGAGAUCAAAUCUGACCAAAACACCAAGAGAAAAAAGAAGAGAAAAUUAUGUUUCAGUAAUUGGAUCUUCAACAACAACGUUUUGGAAAGACAAAUCGAAGGCAAUCAAAAACAACAAACUCAGCAGCUUUUGUUGGUGUUAAAGAAAUCAGUAAAGUAAGAUGGCAUGUUCUGGACCGAAAAUAAUGAAUUUCACUUGCAGAAAAAGUGGAUGGUGAGUACAAGAAAUUACUGAUCCCCAUGUGCAUAUAUAAUGGAAUUCACCCAUUUCGUUGGUUGUCGCUUGCACUAGAAGAUGGCGUAUGGAUGAUCUACAACGAAAAAAUCCAAUUUACAACGUGCAGAUCAAUCUAAAUUUGUCUUUUCCUGAACAACGUAAAAUUUGUCGAAUGGAAGUUAGAGCAAAUGAAAUGGUUGAGAAAGUAAACAAGAGAAGGGUUAGGAUGCCGUUUCCGUUUCCUAUCUUGAAUGCAAUUGAUGAAUGAAAGCUUCAAAAAAAGAAAAAAGAUGCUAGCUUGAACGUCUGAUUGAGCAAGUGUGUCUACUGCUAACAAAAACACUUUUAUUAGUGUUGGUUAUAAUACUCUUUGCAUAAAUGUGAUACUGUUAUAAAAAACUAUUGAUUAUAUGAACGAUUGAAUUGUUUGAUUGGACAUAA